AUUGAACGCUGGCGGCAUGCUUUACACAUGCAAGUCGAACGGUAGAGGGGGCAACCCCUUGAGAGUGGCGAACGGGUGAGUAAUGCAUCGGAACGUGCCCAGUCGUGGGGGAUAACGCAGCGAAAGCUGUGCUAAUACCGCAUACGAUCUCUGGAUGAAAGCGGGGGACCGAAAGGCCUCGCGCGAUUGGAGCGGCCGAUGUCAGAUUAGGUAGUGGGUGGGGUAAAGGCUCACCAAGCCAACGAUCUGUAGCUGGUCUGAGAGGACGACCAGCCAAACUGGGACUGAGACACGGCCCAGACUCCUACGGGAGGCAGCAGUGGGGAAUUUUGGACAAUGGGCGCAAGCCUGAUCCAGCAAUGCCGCGUGCAGGAAGAAGGCCUUCGGGUUGUAAACUGCUUUUGUACGGAACGAAAAGGUCUGGGUUAAUACCCUGGGCACAUGACGGUACCGUGAGAAUAAGCACCGGCUAACUACGUGCCAGCCGCCGCCGUAA
rnacentral:rRNA from 1 species